GCCCUCGUAGUUCAGUCGGUAGAUCCCUCACUCAUCAUGUUUUCGAAUGAAACGAGCUCAGUGGGCGAUGUGGGUUCGAUUCCCACCGAGGGCA